CAGGUUGUUAAUAAAUAUACCAGAGAAUAAUGGUCCUGCUAUUGAUGGAUCCCAAGGGAGAAUUCCUAUUAAUCACUUCAAUCUUAGGGCAAUGCAGAGCCAAUGAAGGACUUGAGCAGAGCAGAGACCAAUGAGUACUGAAUUUUGGAGAGAGCAUCCAGGCCACUGGGUCAAGUGUGCCUUGGGAAGAAGAGCUAAAGGAAGCAAGGAGACUAGCAAGAGAGUUCAGAUAUGGGGUCUCACUAUGUUGUCCAUGCUGAUCUCAAACUCCUGGGCUCAAGCAAUCUUCCCACCUCAGCCUCCCAAAGUGCUGGGAUUACAGGCAAGAGACACUGUGCUUGGAAUUUUUUGUUUGUUUGUUUGUUUUUAACAAUCUCCAAGAAAGUUUCAUUUUGCUGCAUAUGGCCUUUCAAUUUACCUAAUGUGGCCACAGGCAUAAAGGAGUCGAGUCAAUGUUUUAUAGAUUAUUGCAGUUUGUUGCACUGACACCACCACUUACCCUCAGUGAGAAAAACAAAGGACCAGCAAAAGGUGAUGAUGUGGUAGACCUUGAAAUUUCUGUCAGUGGCACAUCAACUAAAGAAAUUCUAAAGAAAAAUCAUCUUGUCAACUCCUUAAGACUAGAAAUGUAUUUAGACUGCAAUAUAGAUCUAAUGCCCAGCUUGCAGAAUUGCAGAAUUUUCCAAUUUGGUGUUGCUCUAGGUUAAAAAAUGUACCAGCUGAAAAAUGUGAAUUGGAAUCAUUUGCCAUUCGUUCCUAAUGUAAUGACUGAUUUCCCACUCUGGAUUCAGCAAGCUGCAGGCAAUGGGUUUGAACUGAGUCCAGGUGGAAAGGGGCCAGACAUUAAAUUUAAGGCCUCUAUUGCACAACUCCCUACAGAAAUUGUACAAAUAAUGUAGCUGAAGUGCUUUCUGCAUGCUGUGUAACCCAACUCUUUUGGCAACCUGAUUAAUUCCUUGCCCUUUUCUGUAGUACGCACAGUUAGGAAGUAUACUAAAAGGUGACAGAAACCAUAAUAGAAGCUGUCAGGGAUUACAUUCAAGAUGUUAUCCUCUUCAUUUUCAGUUUACAAAAAAAUUUUUCAAAAAAAAGGCCUCAUAAAGCUUGGAUAUAAUAAUUACUCCUCGGUGCUAUUUUCCUUUUGUUAAUACCACUAAUAUUAGUAAUAAAUAAGUCCAACCCCAGAGAUGAUUGUUAUUCUAAAUUUAUCCUGUAUUCUACAGAGCUGAAUAUAAAUAUAUAUGCAGACUUACUAAAAACUAUCUAUCUUAGUUAAUACAAAAAAAGCUUUUAAUUGGACCUCCUUUACGUUGGACUGCAAUGUCAAUGCUUAUUUCUCCGUUUAAGUGUCUGCACAGCCUUCAGGGGUUAAACGUUCAUUCACUCCCACCCUGCUUUUUGUGCCUUUUCUCAAAAGGGGGCCUGUGAAACAAGGAUACUUUUGAGUGUAAAUACUAAAAAACAUUUAAUCCAAGAUUUGCGGUAACUCCAGUUUUAGUCUUCUCAAAGAUGGAGAUGUUAAUAUUGUCAAGGUUCCAGUGAGAACAUGAUGCCAAGAAUGACACACUGAAUUCUACCCAAGUCAUCUAAAACUAAAGCUUGUCAAACGCAACUAAUGUGUUAAGUAGACACGAUUUUUUUUUCCAAAAUGAAAACAUUUUAGAGGUAGUCUUUAUACUAUUUUUUAACUUGUAAAUUCUUUUUAAAUUGCACACUAGGAACAAGGGGGUAGUUCAAUAACUGGCUAAUGAAUUCUAAUGUGUGACUUUGAAGUCAAAUUGGCAAACACAGAGGGAAUAGUGACUUGGUGCAUUUCCAAUCUGGAGUACCUGAGAAACUCAAACAAGGAUUGUAUUAUAAAUUCUGGGAGAACUUGGCACAGCAUUGGGUCAGAAUAUUUUAUCAGGCAACCUAGAGCCAGAGCUGAAUUUUCCUUUUGUUUUCUGGAUUUUGAUUUCUAAAUGUUUCCUUAGAACAGGUACUUGGUUUAAAUGGGAUUUAAAUAAACUCAGCUCCAGGAAUUAGUAACCAAUUUGCUUUUAAGAGUCAUGUUUCGUGUUUCACUUAAUAGGUAUCACAUGUUUUCAGCUGGUCUUUUUUCUAUAUAUUGAUGUCAGCUUAAGUGGAAAGAAAUUCAAAUAAUCAAGCACCAUAAUACUUAGAGAUUACAUCCAUAAAUCAGAUUUGGCUAUAACAUCAGUAUAUGCUUAGGAUAUAAUCAUGUUGCAUGCCAUAGAAUAUUUGUGUGUACGUGUGUCAUUCAUGUCUGAAAAUAUUUUUGGGAGGCAGCAGUCUAGUUGUUGGCCUGCUAAUCUAAGAAAAAACACCUGGCAAUUAAAUGGAAACAAUUGUAGGGUUAAUUGACAGGGGAAGACUGACAGGAUUCUGGCUGUGCUUGGGAUCAUGAUGUGACCUCUGAGAUAUCAUGGAUCGGAAACUGGAAAAUAUUUUACAUCUUGCACUUGAAAAAAUAUUUGAAGCGGCACCACAUGCCAGAGUUAAUCAGUGUCAAAAUGUAUUGCUUCAAGUCUUUGGAAAACAUUAAGUAAGAGGUAAGUGGAAUAAAAAUGUUUUCCUGUUUGUUAUGGACUAAAUUGUGUUUCCUCAAAAUCAAUAUGUUGAAUCCCCAACCCCCAAUGUGACUGUAUUUGGGGAUAUGGCCUUUAAGGAGGUAAUCAAGAUUAAAUGAGGUUAAAAAAAAUGGUAGAACCUUAAUCCAAUGUGACUGGUGUCCUUAUAAGAGAAAGAAACAUGAGAGAACUUUCUCUCUCUUUCUCUCUCUCUGCAGGAGCACAAAGGAAAGGCCAUGCGAGGACACAGGGAGAAGACAGGCCCCUACCAGUCAGGAAGGGAGCCCUCACCAGAAACUGAGCUGGCCAGCACAAUGGUCUUGGACUUGUAGCUCCAGAACUGUGAGGAAAUAAAUUUCUGUUGUUGAAGCC